rnacentral:ncRNA from 1 species
UAGGGUACGGUUAUAUUGAACUAAAUUAUGAACAAAUAAUUCGUUUCCUUUUACAUUUUGGAGAACUUAUGUUUUGUUUUAAAGACAGACACUUCAUCGUUUCACAAUCUUCGGUACAUUAAGUAGACUUGUCAUAAUUGCCGCAUCGGCUCUCCUUGCCUUUACAAAACUUGGAAACACACUCCUAUUAGAAGAGUUUUCUCCUCUGUUUUAUAGUCGUACUACCAUAGAAGUCUUUCGAAGAGAGAUAUGGUACAUGGGCUAGAAGAACAUGACAUUUACUGUUGUGUCGGUAUUUUCUCCUCGGAUCUUAAAAAUUUAUGGUGGGGUCGCGUAUAGUUCUCAACAGGUCGUACGAAUAUCCGCAGCUGGUCUCCAAAGUGAAGAAUCUCU